rnacentral:lncRNA from 1 species
AGUGGAAAAGCCGUUUUUCCAACAGGUGUUCCGAAGAAUGGGAUUACUUACUGAGACGUGGGUCACUGGAAAUGCAUUUCAACAUGAAAAAAAAUCAGAGGUCCUUGAGAUUUUCCUGCCACCUCCAAGAACAAAGGUUAGCAAUCGCCACGAAUUUUCACCAGGAAAUAGAAAGGAAGUCAUCAGUUUAAACUGUGAAAAAUCCAAUGCCUAUCCAGAAAUAGUACCAGAAUCAGAUUGGAGUAUGAAGAAAAGUCCCAUAGACCUGAGGAAGAUUAAGGUGACAAUAGUUUGCUGGAAGUCCUGGAUUGGAAAGGAAGAGUUCAAGAGAACUCGGAGCAGCUCAGCAUCCAAAAAGUGA